rnacentral:rRNA from 1 species
UACGUAGGGUGCAAGCGUUAUCCGGAAUUAUUGGGCGUAAAGAGCUCGUAGGCGGUUUGUCACGUCUGCUGUGAAAACUGGAGGCUCAACCUCCAGCCUGCAGUGGGUACGGGCAGACUAGAGUGCGGUAGGGGAGAUUGAAAUUCCUGGUGUAGCGGUGGAAUGCGCAGAUAUCAGGAGGAACACCGAUGGCGAAGGCAGAUCUCUGGGCCGUAACUGACGCUGAGGAGCGAAAGCAUGGGGAGCGAAC